AAAUCACGGAUCCUCUGCGGUUGUGUCUCAAGGGGUCAAGGAGAAACCACAAGAUUAUCCGGUUAAAAGGAGAAGCAAAAUGAAAUCGGCGUUUAGAAACGCCUACUUCUCCCUCUCUCGCUCCUUAAACCCUAUCCCCAAGCCCUCUACCAUUUCCCACUCUCUCCCUUCCAUCACCACCUCUCUUUCACUCUCUUUCUUGCCUUUUCGUCCGCAACACCUACCUUUUCGCUCGUUCUGCUCCUUCUCGUCAAUGGCGAGCGCCGACGAUUCUCACGCCCCCAACCUUUCUCCUCCUCCUCUCGAGAAGCAGUUCAAGGAUUUCCGUGCGCAGCUUGAAGAGUCCGGAGCCUUACGCGAGAAAAUUCGAGCAGUCGUGGUGGAGAUCGAGUCCGCCACUAGACUCAUGCACGUUAGCCUUCUCCUUGUCCACCAAUCCCUCCCAAUUCCAGAGGUUUUAGAAGAGGCUAAGGCUCAAAUUGGAGUCCUGAAGGGACUUUACGGCCAACUUGCAGAAAUUAUUCGUGAUUGCCCUGGGCAAUAUUACAGGUAUCAUGGAGAUUGGAGAAGUGAAACCCAGAUCCUGGUUUCUCUGCUUGCUUUUAUGCACUGGUUAGAGACAGGAAAUCUACUUACACAUUCUGAAGCAGAGGAAAAACUUGGGUGUAUGCUUCCAUGGAUUUUAGUUGCGUUGACAUAUGAUUUUUCUGUUAUCAAAUCUUAUGUUCUUGUUGUUUGGUGCAGUGAACAGUUCAGAGUUUGUUUUGGACAUUGAGGACUAUCUUAUUGGUUGGUAAUCUAUGUCUCGUAGAUAUUUUCUCUACGAUAUUCAUUUUCAUGCUGUAGUUUUGGCGAUAAUGUGUUUUAAUUUCUGGGGAUUAGGCAUUUAGGUUUUAUCAUUUGGCUAAAAGUUGGUUUGCUUGAAAAAUAAUGCGAGGAUUCCAUUUUGUACAGGAUAUGAUUUGGCUAUACUUUAUGAACCAAACGUCAAUGAUAUGCAGGAACUGGAGUUAAACAUUAAAAAAAUCCAACCAUUUGAUUGUGCUUAAUCAAUGUACAUGUGUGAUUCUUAGCUGGUUGGGCUGAUGGUUCAUGCUUUUAUGAACUAAUUCUACAAACUCGGGUGUUAGCUGCUGAGUGAAUAGGUGCAGCUGUUGUCUGUUUGAGUGAUGAGUUGUGCUUAAUAUGAACUGAUGUUAGGCAUUAUUUAUUUCUAGAUAGUUUUAUUUCUUCUAUUAAAGGGUAUGAUAUUGGUAAUUGGUGUGUGAUAUAUUAUCGAUAUUGUAAAUGGAUGUUCUCUUACUAGGAACACUAAUUUUGAAGUCUGUGUAUUUGCAGGUGUUUGUUUCAUGUCAAAUGAAAUGGUAAGAACCAUUUCUUUGAAACUUUAGGAGCAAGCAUAUCUUGUUUGUACAUUCUAGAAAUGAUGUUGUUGUUGUGGUGUUACUGUUGUGUUGAGGGAGACUUUGGUUUAGAGAUUUCUGGAGAAUUUGUGGUGCUUUUUAAAUGAAAUUUCUAGGUCGAAGCUUAAGGAGUAUUCAUGAGAAUAGAGUUGUGUUCUAAUUGCAUCCCAGCAAUUGAUAAAUUCUGUACAAAAGAGCUCAUUAUGCUGUCUAUUGCAUUUUUGCAGCCUAGAUAUGUGGUGAAUCGAGUGACUGCUGGGGACUAUGAUUGCCCAAGAAAGGUGUUGAAGUUCUUGACAGACCUCCAUGCAGCCUUCCGCAUGCUUAAUCUCCGGAAUGAUUUUCUGCGCAAGAAGUUUGAUGGUAUGAAGUAUGAUCUAAGAAGGGUUGAAGAAGUGUACUAUGAUGUUAAGAUUCGAGGUUUGGCAGCCAACGGUGAUUCAAAUGCAAACCAAGGAGUGGAAGAUCAAUCAUAGGUUACAAAGUUGAACUGUCACAUCUCUGGUUAUCUUGAGUACCUCUGUUUAUUCCUUGUUUGAAGGAAAUUGUUCUAGAGAGUCUUUCUUUGUCAACCUAAUACUGGAAGAUAAUCUAAGUUAGCUUUGUCAGUAAAAUACACUCUUUGCAUCUUUUCUCUUCCCCUCAUUGAAAGUGUGCGUUGCCGCAUAUGAAAGAACACGGGAAAGAAAGUUUUCUAUACAUUUUUUAUCAUUUUCUCAUGCCAUGGGAUUUUAGAAGGGCUUAACAUACAUUAACGAACAUCCUUUUGAGGAGUUCAACGAGUGAAGCAGCUAGUUUCUAUUGACUGAACUUAGGUUUUGUCAUCUUAACGGUGUUUUUUUGGUGUGUGAAUAACAGCAUGCUGGAAUUCAAUAAAUGACAAGGAAGAAUUUCUACUCUGGGGGGUUGCAACUUGGAAGCAAAUGCUUCCAACUAACUUUUCAGAAAUAGCGGUCAUCACUGAUGGAUGUCCUCGUCAUCAUUGACCAUCUUCCAAUUAUGACAGGGUAGAUCUGGACUAUAAUUCUUGAUUACAUUUUAUAUAAUUUUGGAGACUAUUAUAUAUUGUUAAGUUGAAAACUCUUAGCUUUUGAGUGAAGGUUUCUAGUUGUCACCAAGAGUACACUACAUGUCACAGUCAUACAUGGCUCCGGGUUUCCAUUACGCUUAGCUUCAACAGAUUGGCUAUUGUAGCGGUCACGGUGCACUUAGCCCCAACCUCGAGCCUCUAAUGCUGCGUAGCCAGCUUGCAUUUACAAGGCCGAUCUCUGGUUAACCUGUGGGCACCUCCACAGUAACAAACAAAUUAGUCCAAUGGAAGCUAGCGUUGUGACCCCUCUUUUCUUUUCUUUUUCUUAUCUUAUCCCCGCAAAAAAAAUCAUUUUAGAUAAGUAACAAAUAUAGCAUAUGAUUUAUCACUUUUAUCUUUUAAAGGCAAAAGAAAU
rnacentral:misc_RNA from 1 species